rnacentral:rRNA from 1 species
GACGAACGCUGGCGGCGUGCUUAACACAUGCAAGUCGAACGGAAAGGCCCUGCUUUUGUGGGGUGCUCGAGUGGCGAACGGGUGAGUAACACGUGAGUAACCUGCCCUUGACUUUGGGAUAACUUCAGGAAACUGGGGCUAAUACCGGAUAGGAUCUCCUGCUGCAUGGUGGGGGUUGGAAAGUUUCGGCGGUUGGGGAUGGACUCGCGGCUUAUCAGCUUGUUGGUGGGGUAGUGGCUUACCAAGGCUUUGACGGGUAGCCGGCCUGGGAGGGUGACCGGCCACAUUGGGACUGAGAUACGGCCCAGACUCCUACGGGAGGCAGCAGUGGGGAAUAUUGCACAAUGGGCGGAAGCCUGAUGCAGCAACGCCGCGUGCGGGAUGACGGCCUUCGGGUUGUAAACCGCUUUCGCCUGUGACGAAGCGUGAGUGACGGUAAUGGGUAAAGAAGCACCGGCUAACUACGUG